rnacentral:lncRNA from 1 species
AGGAGGAUGUGUCACUAUCAUCCCAAGUUGCUUUCAACGCCUUCUUCUUCUUCUUUCCAUAGUGCUUCUUCUAUUGAGGGCAUUCAGAACGGAUGUGUCCCGGUCUCUUGCAAUCAUAACAUAUGAUUGGGUCUCUUUCUUUUUCUUUUUUCUUUUCCCAAUCAUUUCUCCCUCCAAACUUCUUUCUUGGAAAGUGUUUCUUUCUUCUCAUGAAUUUCUUGAACUUCCUUACUAUUAAGCCCAAGUCCUCAUCUUCACUUUCUUCUUCACUCUCACUGCUUUCUUCUUCACAAACACUUGAAGUAGCCUUGAGUGCGAUUGUCUU